CGGAUCUGUAGGAUUAAAAAGUGAGUCACAUACCAGACCUGGGUCUUCUUCUUCAAGCUUUCUUCCUUAAAAUCUCUUUCAAUUACUUUGAGCCAUGAAAAGCUGAAAUCUCAGCUCCAGAAAACGCAGCUACCGUAGCCCCUUUUCACCCCAAACCCGCCAUGAAAACCUAGAUCCUUACCUCCACAACACUGCCAAAGAUAGCUAAGGUUUCUGAAUCGAGGCUACCAUUCGAUAUCGUCGAGGUCACCACGGUGGUGAGAAUAAAGUUGAUUCGCUAGAGGUAUUUUAUUUUUAUAUUUUGUCUUUAUGACUUAUUGAAAUUUGUUUGAAUAAGCAUUAAAGUUUGGAGUAGUAUAUAUUGUUAUUUGGAAGAUUUGUUUCUUUGGCCCUUUCGUACUUCUUUAUUUUUGGAAAAAAUGGCGUGAUGUUUGGUUCCUUUAGCUGAUGUCUUGUUGUUUGGAUUUAUUAUUUGAAUUUCUUGACUCAUGAAUUAAUCUUAUGCUAGCUAUUAUUAUUUUAGUUUGUUAAAUAAAAAUUAAAUUUCUUAAGUAUAUAAACAAUGACGCGAAGAGCAGUGUGAACUGAGUUUGGUUAUUAGUGUCAAAUGGCUAGAUUUCAAAAGUUGUUUGGCAGUAUUAGAAACACAUAAUUUCGGAUCCUUGAUGUAUCUAAGCGUUGGGUGUUGCUGGACUAUUUUCAGGUAACCGUUCUUGUUGCAUAUGCUUCUCCUUUAUGCCAAGCCACUUU
rnacentral:lncRNA from 1 species